CCGAUGUAAAUAUCAAUGUUAGACGCGGUACAAAUUCCCAGCAUACGCCCUGUUAAGUUAUAGAAAUGAGUAUCACCGUUCAAUUUCAUCCCCCUGCUGAAAAUAAGCGAGAAUAUCUCUUACCCUUGUUUUCUAUGCUUAGUUUCAAUAAUCAAUAGUAAAGCCGAAAGAAAGCUUUCUACAAACUGCUCUCCCCCGUGGACAACCUGAUAUAUUCUUGUCUGUGGUGAGGCGGAUUCUAGGCCUUCGUUGCUUUCGAUACUGUUUCACUGCAGAUACUGUGUAUGACCAGCUCUGUAUCAUCCC
rnacentral:snoRNA from 1 species